GACUUCGUAGUGUAAUGGUCAGCAUGCUCGACGCGUAAUCGAGAGGUCCGUGGUUCGAUUCCCGGCAAAGGCG
rnacentral:tRNA from 1 species